rnacentral:rRNA from 1 species
AUCACUAAGCGGAGGAAAAGAAAAUAACGAUGAUUCCCUCAGUAACGGCGAGUGAACCGGGAUAAAAGCUCAGCGCCGAAGUCUUCGUUCGUGAAGGACGACAGACAAUGUGGCGUUCGGGAGGAGCUAUUCCUUAUCGUUGUUGCCAGUGCCCAAGUCCCACUGACUGGGGCCAUCGCCCAACGAGGGUGCUAGGCCCGUGCGGCACUCGGCUUCCGAAGGAUGGCUAAAAUUAUUUCCCUCGAGUCGGGUUGCUUGGGAGUGCAGCCCCAAGUCGGUGGUAAACUCCACCUAAGGCUAAAUACGGCCACGAGACCGAUAGCAAACAAGUACCAUGAGGGAAAGUUGCAAA